rnacentral:piRNA from 1 species
UAGUGGGUGGCAAAAAAA